CAAAGAUACGGUUAAACAAGGCCUAGCACAGGCCAACAAUUUUUUGCCAUGUGGCAGUUGUUUUGAAUUUACCUAGGUUUUUUUUUCUUUUUCUGUAUGUGGAGGGAGAAGAGGAAAGGUAUUGAAGGGAAGUAACUGUAUUCUAUGAUUUUAUUUCAGAUGCAGCUGUUCUCUUAGUUACAUUGGCAGAUUGUGUGUUGUCAAUGUUGACUAUUGCUUAGGGAACCACAGUAUAUCAGUGCAUGGCCUCUGCCUGGCCCUUUCGCACAAUUGUAACUGUAGCGGUCUGCAAAGAUAUGAAAGGAACAUCUGUGAGAUAGAUACUGAAGACUGCAAAUCUGCGUCCUGCAAAAAUGGAACAACUAGUACACAUUUAAGGGGAUAUUUCUUCCGCAAGUGUGUCCCAGGAUUUAAAGGUACGCAAUGUGAAAUUGAUAUAGAUGAGUGUGCUUCACAUCCCUGCAAAAAUGGAGCCACCUGCAUUGACCAACCUGGUAAUUACUUCUGCCAGUGUGUGCCUCCAUUUAAAGCUGGAAACAUGUCUGGUAUAUCAG
rnacentral:lncRNA from 1 species